rnacentral:lncRNA from 1 species
UAUAAAGUUUUGCAUAAUAGACAUAAAAUAAUCAUGUUAUUGGCACAGCAUGAUCAAUAGAUACAUACAGUAUGAUGGAGCAUGGUAUAUUUCACUUCUCCUAUAUAUGAAUAGUUGGAUACAGAAUAUCCAGAUCACUGGAUUGGUCAUGGGGAGUAUAGUUGAGUGGCUGCCACAAUUGCCAGAUCUGACACUCUUAGAUUUCUUUUUAUGGGCCCUUCUAAAGGCAUUGAUGUAUUGAACUCCACUUACUACAGAAACAGAACUAGUUGUUCAUCUUCAUGCUGUGUUUUCUUUAGUAGAUGCUGCAUCGUUCAUGAUUUUUUUGCACUCCAAAUGAGAAUUCUCAUUCUGCAGAGUUUAUGUGAUCCUUACAGGACAUUCUGUAUAGUCAUUCUAUAUUUGAGUGUUGGAUAUAUAAUUUAUAUUUUUAUUAAGUGUUAUAUUAAAAUCUUUUAGUCCUAAAUAUAUAGUAGUUAUCAGAAAAAUUAAAAACAAUAAAAAUAAAUAAAUUUUUCUGUAAGUGAG